GAGAUACACAAACAGGUCUCAGUCAAGUGUUGAAUGAUCACCAAGCCAUGUUGGAAUGAAGAUCCUGAUUUUAAGCACGUAAGACAUUUGUGCCAAGCCAGUCAUUGCAAUGGUGACACCCAAGAGUGAGAACAAAAGCAAGCACAAGAGGGACAGAGAGAGAGAGAAUUUCCAAAUUGAAAACUCCUGGGAGGAAGGAGUCUGGGAUCCAGGCCACAUUCCCUCUCUACUGACACAGAAUUAUGAUGGAUUUGGAAGUUUCUCUGAGACAGCAAUUUGGGAAGAACUUGCUUGGCUGGCCAUUCCUAGCUCAAGGACUCAUGCAAGUGUGAUCAGAUGGUGGCCGGAAUAGGAACAGCUGGGGGCUGACAGAGCUUCUCUCUUCAUUUAGCCACAGAGAUUUCCAUGUGGUCUCUCCACAUGGACCUGUUUGGAUUUUCACAGCAUGGAAGCCUUAGGGCAGUGACACUGCUUACAUGGAGACUUGUGCACCAGCACGGGGGUUCAGGCUCCCAAGGCUAAAGCCAUAUCUCUUUUUAUUUCCAAGCACCAAAAGUCAUGCAGCAUCACUUCCACCACAUUAUAUUGGUUGC
rnacentral:lncRNA from 1 species